UAAAGCAGACGGCUUUAUCGUUUAGCAGGCGUGUGGUUCGGGGUGUAAUCCGGCCUGGCUAGAGACUCACUCGAUCAAUAAAUUCUACAUUCACGAAUAGAGAACUGACCGCAUCUGCGUCCAGUCAAAGAUAAAAGGACGGACAACGACAGAUAAGAGUCAACAUAAUAUUUUAAACCACACUUUUGCUGGCCUAUUUUAAUAUGUACGAACUGAUCCAUUAAAAAAAAGUAAUUUCGGUAUUAACCCGUCCAUAGUCUUUGGAAAGGUAGAAAUUAUGGAAACCAAUAAACCAGAACUAGUAUUACCAUCGGUGUACAGAAUGGAUAUAACGAAAGACGAAUUGGCCAAUUCGCCAAUAAUCAGAAUGGGACAGUUACACGGGGAGUCUAUAGCGUUUGUGACAAAAGCUUUACGGCAUGUGGCCGACGAACUUCACGGACGUUAUGUACGGUCUGCUUACAAGGAAUUAUUUCAUGUACUGGUGAAUUCAGUAUUAAAAGGAGCAAGCUAAGAGAUCCUCCUCUUUUAUUGAACGUCUUCAGGAACGUUGUUCUCGUAUUUUCGAAUACUGACCAAAGUAAAACAUUAGGUAUUUUGAUAUGUGACUCGAGUUAUAGCUAACCCAUCGUGAUCAAAGGCACACGCCAAAUACUAUCAUUCACUAAACAGAUUCAAUCAGAGCUAUUUUCCUGUAAUUGUGAAUCAGCAUAAUUUAUACAUAGUUGGUUAAAAUCAAUAUGGCGUAUUCCUCUGCAACCCAAAUUUCCUUAUCGGUCUAUAUUUUAGCAUGUUUAUAAAUGGCUGAUAUUGCGCUAUGGUAUAUAUAAUGUUAAUUAUGUGAACUUUAUUAAGAAACGAUAUCUGGUGUUCUAGAAAGAGUACGCAUUAUUUGCCUACCUGGCAGAUACCUUGUAGUUUGUCUCUUGGAUUCUUAUCGUUUUUGUAUGUGUGUAGUGCGGUAUUCCUACACCUAAUUUCAUAGUUUAUUGGUAUUCUGUUGCAUUCUGGACGAGAAAUUAUUUAGGAUAAAUAUGAAUUACUGGUUAAUAUUUUGAUGAUAUAAUAUAAAACAUCCCACAGCUGGAGAAAUUUGCAUUCAUAAAGCUUUAAAAUAACCAUUGGCAAGAUGCCAAACAAAAUUAAAACAAGAUUAUGAAUAGUUAUUACGUUAUAUUUAUCUAAAUUAGGCUGUGCUGAAUAUACAAUAUAUUUCUGAUGUUGUUUGUGCACCAUCACAUCAUCAGUUUGCCAUUUUCAUAAACCUGAAUAACGAGGCAACUUGUCCCCCCCGCCCCCCCCCCCCAAACAAAAUGUUACCCAUUCUGAUUGUACGCUACAUUUUUAAAUGUGUAUACUUUAAAAAUAAUUUUCAUGAAGAUUUCAUGGAUACUAAUAGUCUCUGUUUCUGCUCAAUCCAUGCAUCCAUUCUCAGAAUGGGUAACAUCUAGAUCUAACACAAAUUCUUAAACAGGUUGUUAUAUUAUAUGAACCAGGUUGUUAUUUGAACCAGGUUGUUAUUUGAAAUCGGCUGUAAUAUGUUUAAAACCGGUUGUCUCAUUUAAAAAAGGAUAUUGUAAUUUAAACAGGUUGUUAUGGAUAAACCGGAAGAGUUUGCCCUAUUCCAAACAGUUUGUUAUUUUCCAAAGAGGUUGUUAUUUUCAAACAGGUUGUUAUCUUCGAAACAGGUUGUUAAUUUUAUACCAGGAUGGCAUAUUCAAAACGGGUGGCUAUAUUUAAAUCAUAUUGUUAUAUUGAAAAAUGUUAUUAUAAUUUAAACGGAUUGGAAUAUAUAAAACUAGUGGUCAUAUUUAAGAUUGGUGGUCAUAUAUUCUUAAUUGGCAGUUCUGGGAAUUCGCUAGGUUAUGAUUUUAUAUUAUGGUGGGUGUCCCUUGUAUGGCAGGAUAUGCUUACUCAUCCAUGAACUUCAGUAUCGACUACUAAUGUCUUUAAUGUCCCAUUUAAGAAAUUCACUGAAAAUUUUUCGAUUUUGUCUUUCGUUUGAUUGUCCUUUACGAUUUAUUAUGUACAUUAUCAGUAUAUAUAUUUAUAAUACGUAGUUAUAUCGGGGUUUAAUAUUAAAAACAAUAUAUAUGUGAACAUAUUUGUCAUUAUUAAAACUAAUAUGAGUAGGUUUUUCUUAUGUUAGCGCCAUUUAGUGAAAUGUAAAUGUUUAUGACAAUUUAAAGCAAACUGGCAUCUAAACUCUCGAACCACUGUCAAGCUGAUAAUAUUUACAUUAUAUUUCCGGUGCCUUUUCGUAAAUUAAUCAUAUGCUUUUAGUAGAAUAACAGUUUUCAUUUAUUUAUAAUAUAGAACAUUAUAUUGUAUAGCAUAAUGUAUUUAAUGGCUUGAAAUAAACAAGUUAAUAUUUAA